CCAGUCCAACUCUUGGCAGGUACAGAACACUAAAGGACCAUUUUAUUUCUAAAUGAGUCUAAAUGGCGCACCACAAAGACUGAAAAUGCUGCUGCUCUUUCAUUUUAAAUGGAUAUCGGGUUCAUCCUGCACAUAAAAACCCAUCACAGAAAAUGAAUAUAAGCGGUUGGAGAAGAGACUGGAGAUGUGAACUGUCCCUCUGGAACGGGCUGCCAUUAAGUUUACUAAAAAUGUCUGAUGGUUUCGCCCAGACAGUUAGGAGAGCUGUGUCUGAACGGGAUCCAGAUCUCUGACUUCACCCAGUAACAGUUCAAGAUUUUUUCAAAUAAUCAAGAUAAUUUUUCUUUUUAUCUUUCUUUCUUUCUUUCUUUCUUUCUUUCUUUCUUUCUUAGCAUGUUACUAAUGCUGUAAGUCAUACUUUUACACGAUGUCUGCUAGCUUACUCCGAAAAUGUAUAUUCAGUGAAAAUGUAUCUUCCAGUGAUUAUGCAUGAAGAUAAAUUUCAAACCAAAUUCAGCCCAGCAUUUUAUUCUCUUGGGUAUCAUUUGGAUUGUGGCUUUAAAACAUUUCCAGUGCUCCUGAGGAAUAGGAAUGUAUCAGUAAAAUGAGAUAGUUAGCAUGUAUUUCUUAUUACGGAUGAUUUGUAUGGCCAUCUGCCUGUUAUGACUGAACCUCUAGCA